UAGCUUAGUUGGUAAAGCGCUCGUCUAGCAUACAAGAGUCCUGGGUUCAAAUCCCAG
rfam:Aedes aegypti strain Liverpool supercont1.246 genomic scaffold, whole genome shotgun sequence.